GGAAACGGACGCUAAUACCGCANACGUCCUACGGGAGAAAGCAGGGGACCUUCGGGCCUUGCGCUAUCAGAUGAGCCUAGGUCGGAUUAGCUAGUUGGUGGGGUAAUGGCUCACCAAGGCGACGAUCCGUAACUGGUCUGAGAGGAUGAUCAGUCACACUGGAACUGAGACACGGUCCAGACUCCUACGGGAGGCAGCAGUGGGGAAUAUUGGACAAUGGGCGAAAGCCUGAUCCAGCCAUGCCGCGUGUGUGAAGAAGGUCUUCGGAUUGUAAAGCACUUUAAGUUGGGAGGAAGGGCAUUAACCUAAUACGUUAGUGUUUUGACGUUACCGACAGAAUAAGCACCGGCUAACUCUGUGCCAGCAGCCGCGGUAAUACAGAGGGUGCAAGCGUUAAUCGGAAUUACUGGGCGUAAAGCGCGCGUAGGUGGUUCGUUAAGUUGGAUGUGAAAGCCCCGGGCUCAACCUGGGAACUGCAUUCAAAACUGUCGAGCUAGAGUAUGGUAGAGGGUGGUGGAAUUUCCUGUGUAGCGGUGAAAUGCGUAGAUAUAGGAAGGAACACCAGUGGCGAAGGCGACCACCUGGACUGAUACUGACACUGAGGUGCGAAAGCGU
rnacentral:rRNA from 1 species